rnacentral:RNase_P_RNA from 8 species
AAAGUAAAUCGGGUAGCUGCCCCGACUCAAAAGGUCGGGGAGGAAAGUCCGAACACUCAGGAUUUGAUGACCGCAUAUGAGUUAUCAAGACCAAGGGUAGCGGGUAACCCCCGUCCGCAGUAAUGCGCGAGAUGCGAACAGAGACGUCUCGAGACGAAAGAAUCGAGAUAUCCUAGCAAUAGGAUAAGUUCUGAUGGCAACAUCAGAAAUGAAACGGCUAAACUCUUACUUGAGUGCAAACCCAAAUUUGGUAGGGUGCAUGAGCUGACUGGCGACAGGCAGCCAAGAUAGAUAGCUACACAAAUACAGAAUUCGGCUUACAGAUUUGCUUUGGGC